CACCACUCAAGCUCUGCUUGGUAUUGGGCCCUCGUCCUCCAGGGGACGUGCCCGAAAAUCAGUGGCGUCGCCGCCUGACUUCAAGCGCAGUAAUCUUCUCUCGCUUUGGAAGGAAGGGUCGGUCGACCGCCAGACAAACCAUCAUUUUUCUAU
rnacentral:misc_RNA from 1 species